GGAGGAUGUCAUUGUUGAUGGUGAAGCUGUUGUAGUUAGGGUGCUUGAAAACCUUUAUGAAGAGGAUACUCAUAUUCAAUUUCAUGGUCUGAAUGGGCUCAGCAUUGGAAGAAAGAUCAUGCUCACCCAGGAUGACACAGUGAGAGGUCCUGAUAAAAAAAAAUUGCACAGAAUUCUGAAGAGACAUGCAUAUUCUGAAAUAAAGUGAGCAGCAGUCACAACCCACAACUCAUUGAUCAGGGAGCCACCGCAGAAGUGGAAGUCAGUGGAGUC